GUGGCGUUGGCGGCAGUUCGGGCAGGUGUGCSGGUGCGUGUGUGGGCACAGGAUGGGGUGGCUGCAGUGAGGUGUCCUGACUCUCAGGGCCUGUUGCAGGCGCAGGUGGGUCACCAGGGCGGACAUGAGCGCCGGGACCGAGCUGCUGUGGCCAGGGGCCGCGCUGCUGUUGCUGCUGGGGACCGCGGCCGGGCUGUGUGUGCGCUGCUCGCGCCCAGGGCUGAAGAAGGCCGAGAAGAUCUACCAGCAGAGGAGCCUGUGAGUGGCCUCCCUGUGGGCACCCACCC